rnacentral:rRNA from 1 species
AGUGAACGCUGGCGGUAGGCCUAACACAUGCAAGUCGAACGGCAGCACAGUAAGAGCUUGCUCUUACGGGUGGCGAGUGGCGGACGGGUGAGGAAUACAUCGGAAUCUACUUUUUCGUGGGGGAUAACGUAGGGAAACUUACGCUAAUACCGCAUACGACCUACGGGUGAAAGCAUGGGAUCUUCGGACCUUGCGCGAUUGAAUGAGCCGAGGUCGGAUUAGCUAGUUGGCGGGGUAAAGGCCCACCAAGGCGACGAUCCGUAGCUGGUCUGAGAGGAUGAUCAGCCACACUGGAACUGAGACACGGUCCAGACUCCUACGGGAGGCAGCAGUGGGGAAUAUUGGACAAUGGGCGCAAGCCUGAUCCAGCCAUACCGCGUGGGUGAAGAAGGCCUUCGGGUUGUAAAGCCCUUUUGUUGGGAAAGAAAAGCAGCAGGUUAAUACCCCGCUGUUCUGACGGUACCCAAAGAAUAAGCACCGGCUAACUUCGUG